GGGAAAGUGGCUCAGUGGUAGAGUACUUGCCUUGAAUGCAUGAGGCCCUAGGCUUGAUUCCUCAGUACCA
rnacentral:tRNA from 1 species